rnacentral:rRNA from 1 species
AGUGAACGCUGGCGGUAGACCUAACACAUGCAAGUCGAACGCCCCGCAAGGGGAGUGGCAGACGGGUGAGUAACGCGUGGGAACAUACCCUUUUCUACGGAAUAGCUCUGGGAGACUGGAAUUAAUACCGUAUACGCCCUACGGGGGAAAGAUUUAUCGGGGAAGGAUUGGCCCGCGUUGGAUUAGCUAGUUGGUGGGGUAAAGGCCUACCAAGGCGACGAUCCAUAGCUGGUCUGAGAGGAUGAUCAGCCACAUUGGGACUGAGACACGGCCCAGACUCCUACGGGAGGCAGCAGUGGGGAAUAUUGGACAAUGGGCGCAAGCCUGAUCCAGCCAUGCCGCGUGAAUGAUGAAGGUCUUAGGAUUGUAAAAUUCUUUCACCGGGGACGAUAAUGACGGUACCCGGAGAAGAAGCCCCGGCUAACUUCGUGCCAGCCGCCGCAGUAA